CAGCAGUGGGGAUAUUGCACAAUGGGCGCAAGCCUGAUGCAGCCAUGCCGCGUGUGUGAAGAAGGCCUUCGGGUUGUAAAGCACUUUCAGUCAGGAGGAAAGGGUGUGUUUUAAUAGAGCAUAUCUGUGACGUUACUGACAGAAGAAGCACCGGCUAACUCCGUGCCAGCAGCCGCGGUAAUACGGAGGGUGCGAGCGUUAAUCGGAAUUACUGGGCGUAAAGCGUACGCAGGCGGUUUGUUAAGCGAGAUGUGAAAGCCCCGGGCUCAACCUGGGAACUGCAUUUCGAACUGGCAAACUAGAGUGUGAUAGAGGGUGGUAGAAUUUCAGGUGUAGCGGUGAAAUGCGUAGAGAUCUGAAGGAAUACCGAUGGCGAAGGCAGCCACCUGGGUCAACACUGACGCUCAUGUACGAAAGCGUGGGGAGCAAACAGGAUUAGAUACCCUGGUAGUCCACGCCGUAAACGAUGUCUACUAGAAGCUCGGAGCCUCGGUUCUGUUUUUCAAAGCUAACGCAUUAAGUAGACCGCCUGGGGAGUACGGCCGCAAGGUUAAAACUCAAAUGAAUUGACGGGGCC
rnacentral:rRNA from 1 species